rnacentral:rRNA from 1 species
GACGGAGGAUGCAAGUGUUAUCCGGAAUGAUUGGGCGUAAAGCGUCUGCAGGUGGCAGUUCAAGUCUGCUGUCAAAGACCGGGGCUUAACUUCGGAAAGGCAGUGGAAACUGAACAGCUAGAGUAUGGUAGGGGCAGAGGGAAUUCCUGGUGUAGCGGUGAAAUGCGUAGAGAUCAGGAAGAACAUCGGUGGCGAAGGCGCUCUGCUGGACCAUAACUGACACUCAGGGACGAAAGCUAGGGGAGCGAAUGGG